rnacentral:lncRNA from 1 species
CCCAGCUUAACGACAGCAGCCCAUGGAACUUCUCGGUCUCCAUAAUUGUUCCCAAAUUUGGAUGAUGUUUUGGCUGUCAUCCAAACAUUAUAUGAAUGCAGUUAUUGGACCCAGAGUCACAUUCAGCUGUCUCAUCUUACGCCAAUCAAUCAUAAUCUCGAUAGUUGUCAUGAAGUCCACACACGAGCAACAGACAACUACAGAGAUGAAUGCCUGCAUGGAAAAUCGUAAGGAGUAGCUGAUGCCAGAAAUUGGCCUCUGUCACUUCCAGCAAAUGGAUGGAGAGAGAACUCAAGGUCUCGGAGAAAGAAAGAUGA